ensembl:lincRNA
AUUGACUUCGGUCCAGGGAAGAGACCUGGCUCACUGGCUUCUUUCCUCAUCCAUAGGCUGGCUCCAAGAGCUAUGUGAAAUAACAGCCACAGUGAGAUUCACUGUAAAGAGGAUUCUCCAGGGUGGAGAACUGCAUCUCUAGGUCACCAUCAACUCCUUCCCGAGGCCAGCAUUGAUCUAUAUCUGCAUCAGAACCAGACCUGGGUCCAUAGGUCAGAACCACCUCCACCAUCUCCACCGCAUGGCAGGGCAGAAGAAAGCAAGAGAAGUCCCAGGUCUGCUCUUCCUGUGAGUGUCCAGUAGGCUCUUAUUCCUGUGGAGGGCCUAGUGCCUUGCAGCUUCUCAAUGGAUAACAGCCAAAUGCAGACUCUUAAUGGCUUUCCCUUUCGGUUGGACAAGCCCAGAGCUCUAGCCCGGGUGGGGUGCGGGCUGUGUGUGAAGAAAUUGGAGACUUGGUUUCAUUUCGUAACCUGGGCCCCUCCAGUGCCUACCAGCUGGGGCUGGGAACAGGACCAACAUUCAUUGACAAAUGAAGAGAUGAAAACAUUUUCGAAGCUGACAGGCCAUCAAUUGGGUGCCACCCGGGAAGAGAAGCCAUGGUCUGCAGCUCUGCUUCCUGGCCCCACCGCCAGGAGAAUAUGGGACUGCCAUCCACACCCAAUGGGUUGCCCUAGGUUUGGGAGGUCUCUUUUUAUCCUGAGAGAAGGCUUAGGAGCAGUUACGAAAGUGGCGAGCCUACCGGCUUGGACACGGAGCAGCAAUUGCUUGGCUUGUUGGGCAUGACUGAGGCCUGUAUGCAGUUGGAUGACCUAAGUUAUGGAAGGACAGAGUAGUGUACACAGAAGGGCCCUCUUGAGUGGCAGCUGGGGCCACUGUAAUUUUGUCCCAUGGGGUAGCCUGGGUCAAGCUCUCACUGGAAACUGCCAGUCAGCCGAGGGACCCUGAGGAGACUCACAUUAUCUGUUUUCUGUUUAGGUCCAGCAAUGAAGGCCCCUACUGAUUUGGGGAACCUAAACGCCCUGUUUUGAGAAGUUCUAUAGAGUAAGGGUGUAAGCGUCUGGCCUGAAGGGAGAGACAUGCUCCCCCUGGGUUCUAAUCCCCAUCAUACCUUAGCUGUCAGCAGGGAGGGGAGGUCCAGAGGCUACAGGAGGUUGUAGCAGAGAAACAAAGGCUUACAUUACUACUCCAGGUUUGCUGUUCUCCCCGGAGGCAGACAGCACUGUGUGUUGGGUGGGGAAUCACUUCACCAGGCCUGCCUUUGCCCCAAGGGGCAGUUUCUUGGAUAGGACAGGGAUAGUGUCAUUAAGCCCAUUUGAGGAAGCAACCAAACAACCGUUACCAGCUUUGGACUUCACUGACCAUGUUCAGUUACUAUUGGACACUCUUUUCCUUCAGGCACAAAUGGGUAAUUUCUCAUGUUCCUGCCUCUGUGACUGGGGUCAAGCAGGCAUGUCUCCUUUGUUCAGUUCACUGCUCCCACGUCUGGAUUCAUCCCUGCUGUCCAGGUUCUGGCCAGGUGUCACGUGGCUUUACUCUGUCGGCGGUCCUCACGAGAUCGAUGACUCCUGGCGAUCCACAUGUGAAUGACUUGUAGGAAGGGUGCUGGAGUGAGCUGAGGUUGACAGGGAGCCACCUGCAAAGGCUCCAGCAGCUAAGUGAGUGUAUGGCUGGACAGUGUCACUUGUGAGAUGCUCCACAGUCCUGUAGUGUCAACUGGAUCAAAGUCUCGCAUAAGAUAGAAGAUGGAAUCUGCCCUUGGUCACAAUGCUUGAUUCAGAACCCUGGCUUUUUAGAGGGCUACUAUUUCCUCCGGUGAUGAAGGUUAACAUCCUGGCACAUCCAUGGCACAGAUGCCAGCUAAGUCCUCUACCCUAGAAGGUCUACAGUGCAGCCCUGGGCAGGAUUCCUCCAAGGCUCACACAGUUUAAAUGUUUCAGACUGGGAUCAUUGCAAAAGGAAUUUUUCUCCUACAGAAGAGAGAGGCGAGGAAGGAAAGCUAUGCCCAAGGUCUAGAAACAGGGCAGUAGCCUUGAGUCUGGAAAGCUUCUCCCACCUGGUCCCACUCUCUCUUAGCUCAACCAGUUGUCCGUGUGAAGAUUAGGUUGCUGGUUUUGGCUUUUUUUUUUUUUUCUUCUUUUUUGUCAACUUGAUACAAGCUAAUCAGAAAGGCAAUGGCCCCUGAGGACACGACUCCGUCAGAUUGGCUUGUAGGCACGUUCACAGGGGAGGGGGGGGGGGUCAGUUCCUUGAUUAAUGAUCUAUAUGGGAGGCACCCAAACCACUGUGAGUGGUGCCACCCUGGGCAGAUGGCCCCGGACUGUCUAAGAAAGCAGGCUCAUCAAACCACAACAAACUUAGCCAGCGAGCCCAGUAAACAGUAUUCUUCUGUAGUUCUUACUCCAGUUCCUGCCUCGAGUUCCUGCCUUGGCUUCCCUGACUGAUGGACUCUCAGCCAAAUAAACACUCUGCUAUGGUA